AACUUUUAAACUUUAAGGUAGGGGGUUGCCACGACACUAAGCGUCUGGCUAUGCAAGACGUGAUUUCUAACACUUAUUUCGAAGAAAAAAAAUUA